rnacentral:lncRNA from 1 species
AACAACAGUGAGACGACUUUAAAAACACUUUGUCUGAUUCUGGUGUCUGUACUUGCAGAAGAAGAUAACAGUUAUGCGAGGACUUCAGAAAAAAACACCAAAAAUUCAGAGACUGGAAAAAAAAAAUUGCAAGGUCACGGGGACAAUGGUUGACAGCAUGCCAUGACUCUUUGUGAAGCCAAAUCCAAACUUCAGCAUGGAGUGACAAGGAGAAGGAUAACACUAGUGAACAUACUUAGAACACUCUUCCGUCAUUCCAUGCAAAGGCCCAGUAAUUUUUAA